AGCGCAGGCGGUUUCUUAAGUCUGAUGUGAAAGCCUUCGGCUUAACCGGAGAAGAGCAUCGGAAACUGGGAGACUUGAGUGCAGAAAAGGACAGUGGAACUCCAUGUGUAGCGGUGAAAUGCGUAGAUAUAUGGAAGAACACCAGUGGCGAAGGCGGCUGUCUGGUCUGUAACUGACGCUGAGGCUGAAAGCAUGGGUAGCGAACA
rnacentral:rRNA from 1 species